AUUGAACGCUGGCGGCAUGCCUAACACAUGCAAGUCGCACGCGAAAGGGGGCAACCCUGAGUAGAGUGGCGGACGGGUGAGUAACGCGUAGGAAUCUACCUGGUAGUGGGGGACAACCCGGUGAAAACCGGGCUAAUACCGCAUACGAUCCACGGAUGAAAGCAGGGGACCGCAAGGCCUUGCGCUAUCAGAUGAGCCUGCGUCGGAUUAGCUAGUUGGUGGGGUAAAGGCCCACCAAGGCGACGACCCGUAGCUGGUUUGAGAGAACGACCAGCAACACUGGGACUGAGACACGGCCCAGACUCCUACGGGAGGCAGCAGUGGGGAAUAUUGGACAGUGGGGGCAACCCUGAUCCAGCAAUGCCGCGUGUGUGAAGAAGGCCUUCGGGUUGUAAAGCACUUUCGGUGGGGACAAACAAGGUGGAGCUAACAUCUCCGCCUCUGAUGGUACCCAAAGAAGAAGCACCGGCUAACUCUGUGCCAGCCGCCGCCGUAA
rnacentral:rRNA from 1 species